rnacentral:rRNA from 1 species
AACGAACGCUGGCGGCGCGCCUAAUACAUGCAAGUCGAGCGAGAAGACGUAGCAAUACGUUUGUAAAGCGGCGAACGGGUGAGGAAUACAUGGGUAACCUACCCUCGAGUGGGGAAUAACUAGCCGAAAGGUUAGCUAAUACCGCGUACGCUCCUUGGACUUCGGUUCAGGGAGGAAAGCGAUACCGUGGGUAUCGCGCUCUUGGAUGGGCUCAUGUCCUAUCAGCUUGUUGGUGAGGUAACGGCUCACCAAGGCUUCGACGGGUAGCUGGUCUGAGAGGACAAUCAGCCACACUGGCACUGCGACACGGGCCAGACUCCUACGGGAGGCAGCAGUAAGGAAUAUUGCGCAAUGGGCGAAAGCCUGACGCAGCGACGCCGCGUGGGGGAUGAAGGUCUUCGGAUUGUAAACUCCUGUUG